GUUGUUUGAAGAGGAGGUAACGACAGGACCUGGAGGCUUGGUGAUACCAGGCUGGUAUGAAAGGGACUCUUUGAGAAAUGACUAUCUCCCAGGUAAAGCGAUGUUUCCUGCAGGUAACCCGAGGAUUGGCAAAGAAAUAUGGAGACUACUCUGCACACAGUUCUGGCUAUUUUGAGGCCUAAGAGAUGUUUCUUUUCUCCUGGAAGGAUCCAGAGGGUGACUUCCACCCUUCACCUGGCACGUGGACAUGACAGAGUGGCAGCCACAUCCUACAAGGGGCACACUUCGAUCAUCUUUGAACAGCAGGUGUUUUAUCAAUAAAAUGAAAAUCUCAUUAAAUUCUCUGGUACUGGACCAGGGUGCUUUACCCUGUACCCUUUGUUCAAAACAAUUUAAUCUCUUCUUAGGAAAAAAGGGGAGAUACUGGUUGAAGCAAAAAUGAUUUCUUUCUGCUCUCCUGGUGCUCCUUUCUUCAUUCUGCAUGAAAUUAAUUUUGAAGAAAGGAGCUGAACUCUUCAGUUGCUGCUGCACAAUUUAGUGCAAAAGCAAGAUAUUUAAUUAACAGCGAUAACCUGGACUUGAUUAGAAAAUAAAGCCAUUCUUGCUGAAGUGACCAGGGAUUAACAUGUCUUAAUUAUUCUCCUAGAGAGAGUGUGUAUGACGUAAAGAAUCUGAAAGUGCUUUCAUUUGUAUUUCUGACCCAACAUGAUCCUGUGCUUAAUUUGACCUGCUUGAUGUAGGUCAUUGAAUCAAGAGUUACCUUUCUGUUAAAUUAUAAAAAUGAUUUCUCGUUUGGACGAUAUAUUAGGGAUGUAUAUUGCUUAUUCAACAGUCAUGUUCAGAAAUUUAUUAUCCAUGAUGUUAGUGGGUUUCUAUCCGAACUUGGCAAAUACAUUUUUUAAAACCAUUCCAUGUUAUUUCAUUAAAUUGCAACAUGUCGGUUUCAAGGCCACAUGGCAAGCUCCCUGGGCAAUGCCAUGUGCCUGAGCCCCACCUCACUGAGGCCUGCAUCUCGGGCUCCAGAAGCAAAGGAGAGGAAAGCAUUGACUUAAUUGUGGCUUUAAUUUUGGCAACUGUGUCCUUCCUCAGCAAGGUGAGAUCGGCACUUGUAAAAUGAUCAAGUUUUUCGACAUUAUAAAAGUUUUGCUAGGAUUGUUUCUUUAGUUAAUUGCUUGAAAAACUUCUGCAUUGUCAACUUUGCAGUCUUGAAAUGACUCUACACAUCUUCCUGGAGGUGGGAUUAUACUUAGGUGCAAGUUACAGAGAGCACAGUUCAUAGAGACAGGAUUGACACUGUGCUUAGUUCGCAUAAAA